rnacentral:rRNA from 1 species
AUUGAACGCUGGCGGCAGGCCUAACACAUGCAAGUCGAGCGAGCGGCGGACGGGUGAGUAAUGUAUGGGGAUCUGCCUGAUGGAGGGGGAUAACUACUGGAAACGGUAGCUAAUACCGCAUACCAUCGGAUGUACCCAGAUGGGAUUAGCUAGUAGGUGGGGUAAAGGCUCACCUAGGCGACGAUCUCUAGCUGGUCUGAGAGGAUGAUCAGCCACACUGGGACUGAGACACGGUCCAGACUCCUACGGGAGGCAGCAGUGGGGAAUAUUGCACAAUGGGCGCAAGCCUGAUGCAGCCAUGCCGCGUGUGUGAAGAAGGCCUUAGGGUUGUAAAGCACUUUCAGCGAGGAGGCGUUACUCGCAGAAGAAGCACCGGCUAACUCCGUGCCAACAGCCGCGGUAAUUC